UACGUAGGGGGCUAGCGUUGUCCGGAAUCAUUGGGCGUAAAGAGCGUGUAGGCGGCCCGGUAAGUCCGCUGUGAAAGUCGGGGGCUCAACCCUCGAAUGCCGGUGGAUACUGUCGGGCUAGAGUACGGAAGAGGCGAGUGGAAUUCCUGGUGUAGCGGUGAAAUGCGCAGAUAUCAGGAGGAACACCGAUUGCGAAGGCAGCUCGCUGGGACGGUACUGACGCUGAGACGCGAAAGCGUGGGGAGCGAACAGG
rnacentral:rRNA from 1 species